GGGGAUGUAGCUUAAUGUCAAAGCACUUGCUUAGCAUGCAUGAGGCCCUGGGUUCAAUUCUCUGUUCCUCA
rnacentral:tRNA from 1 species